rnacentral:rRNA from 1 species
UACGUAGGGUGCGAGCGUUAAUCGGAAUUACUGGGCGUAAAGCGUGCGCAGGCGGUUUUGCAAGCCGGAUGUGAAAUCCCCGGGCUUAACCUGGGAAUGGCGAUGGAGACUGCAAGGCUAGAAUCUGGCAGAGGGGGGUAGAAUUCCACGUGUAGCAGUGAAAUGCGUAGAGAUGUGGAGGAACACCGAUGGCGAAGGCAGCCCCCUGGGUCAAGAUUGACGCUCAUGCACGAAAGCGUGGGGAGCAAACAGG